rnacentral:rRNA from 1 species
AUGAACGCUGGCGGCGUGCCUAAUCCCUGCAAGUCGAGCGAACAGAUGAGGAGCUUGCUCCUCUGACGUUAGCGGCGGACGGGUGAGUAACACGUGGAUAACCUACCUAUAAGACUGGGAUAACUUCGGGAAACCGGAGCUAAUACCGGAUAAUAUAUUGAACCGCAUGGUUCAAUAGUGAAAGACGGUUUUGCUGUCACUUAUAGAUGGAUCCGCGCCGCAUUAGCUAGUUGGUAAGGUAACGGCUUACCAAGGCAACGAUGCGUAGCCGACCUGAGAGGGUGAUCGGCCACACUGGAACUGAGACACGGUCCAGACUCCUACGGGAGGCAGCAGUAGGGAAUCUUCCGCAAAGGGCGAAAGCCUGACGGAGCAACGCCGCGUGAGUGAUGAAGGUCUUCGGAUCGUAAAACUCUGUUAUUAGGGAAGAACAAAUGUGUAAGUAACUAUGCACGUCUUGACGGUACCUAAUCAGAAAGCCACGGCUAACUACGUG